GACGAACCGUGCGAACGUUAUUCGGAAUCACUGGGCUUAAAGCGCGUGUAGGCGGGGCGGCGCGUCGGGCGCUGAAAUCCCCCGGCUCAACCGGGGAAGCGGCGCCGAUACGGCCGACCUGGAGGGACGUAGGGGGGGCUGGAACUUCCGGUGGAGCGGUGAAAUGCGUUGAGAUCGGAAGGAACGCCCGUGGCGAAAGCGAGCCCCUGGACGUCUACUGACGCUGAGACGCGAAAGCCAGGGGAGCGAACGGG
rnacentral:rRNA from 1 species